rnacentral:piRNA from 1 species
UUUUAACCACUAAACCACAUU